UGAGUAACCUGCCCUUGACUCUGGGAUAAGCCUGGGAAACUGGGUCUAAUACCGGAUAUGACUCCUCAUCGCAUGGUGGGGGGUGGAAAGCUUUUUGUGGUUUUGGAUGGACUCGCGGCCUAUCAGCUUGUUGGUGAGGUAAUAGCUCACCAAGGCGAUGACGGGUAGCCGGCCUGAGAGGGUGACCGGCCACACUGGGACUGAGACACGGCCCAGACUCCUACGGGNGCAG
rnacentral:rRNA from 1 species